rnacentral:lncRNA from 1 species
UCUUUGAUGACUCCCUCACCCAUCUUUUUCUUUUCUCCUUGACCAUGGUGCUCUUCCUUAUUGCAGACUUUACUGCCCCUUCAGCCUGGGCUUCAAAAGGUGAACACGUACAGCAGAUGUGAGAGCAACCACCAGCAAGGAACAAAACCUGCACUCAGCAGAACCCAGCCUAGAUCCGCUGACCAGCCAACCAACAUAGAGAUACAUUCAUGAGAAUAAAUAAUUGCUGCAAGUUACAGAGUUCUAUAUAAGUUUUUGGAUGUAGUAUUAUGAUGCUAAUAACUAAUGGAUAUAGAAAUUGAAAAUCAAGAACAGCUUCCCAACUCCUUUUGUGAGGCCAUCAUGUCUAAUCCUAAAAUCAAGAAAGGCAUACAAGAAAAGAAAACCACAGACUAAGGUUCUUCCUGAACAUGGAUGCACAAAGCAUUGACAAAAUAUGAGCAAACUGCAUCCAGCAAGGUGCACAGAGGAAAGGCCAUAUGAGCACACAGAGGGAAGGUGGCCGUCCACAAGCCAAGAGAAGAGGGCUCAAAAUGAAACCAAUCCACCUGGAGCCUGGAUCUGGGGCUUUUAGCGUAUAUAACUCUGAGAAAAUAAACUUGUGUUGGUUAGACCGCCUAGUGUUUCAUAUUUUGUUACAGCAUCCUGAGCUGACUAAUUCAUCUCAUAUGGGCACAUUCCUUGUUAGGAUUCUCUUACAGAGAAUCUCUUUCCAAGAUGAAAUUAAAGGGAAGUGAAUUCUCUCUUCAUUUCUUAAAAAUCACAAUGUAUAUCUGGGGAAUAAGAAAUUGUGGAAAAGCAAGGUGAAAUCCCCCAGGGGAAUGAGUUCCAGCAAUUCUCAUGACACACGGUGUGGCCUAACUCCCUAGCUUGUUGUUUUAUGUGCCUGGAGAAUCUGAAGAACAAGGCCAUCUGGAUCUCUAGACUUGAGUGCUGCUUUCCUGGAAUCCACCCUUGGAGCCCAGCCAUGUUGCAGGCUGACCCCAACCACCUGGAGGAGCCACCUGGGAGCACUGUGGUCCAUAGCCCCAACUGAGCUCCAGCCAGGUGAAUGUGCCAUCUUGUGAUGUUCAGUCCAGUCGAGACUUGUGGUGGCACAUCCUGCACGCCAUCUGAUGGCAACUCUGUGAAAGGCUCCUAGCAAGACCUGCCCAACCAAACCCUUCCUAAGCUCCUGACCCACAAAACAAUUACCCAAAUAAAAUGGUUGUUGUAAGUUGCCAAGUUUUGAGUUAAUUUGUCAGGUAGCAAAAGAUAACAGGAACAACCACCCAAAACAGAUGUGCAUUUGCCAGGGCCAAGGGAACUUACAGGGAACCACAUGUGAUAUUGGAGGAAGCAAAAAACCUUUAAGUUACAGUGAAUCACUGGAAGCAGCAGUGGGGUUGUGGGUCAGCUCGGAGGAAGGAGUGUUGAGGUCUAAGCAGGAGUGUCCUUUGGAGUCACAUGGUUCAGGGCAAAAGGGAAUGACAG